CCCUUAGACGUUCUGGGCCGCACGCGCGCUACACUGACCAGUGCAACAAGCAUCCGUCCUUGGCCGACAGGCUCGGGCAAUCUUUGAACGCUGGUCGUGAUGGGGAUAGACUUUUGCAAUUUUUGGUCUUCAACGAGGAAUUCCUAGUAAACGCAAGUCAUCAACUUGCAUUGAUUACGUCCCUGCCCUUUGUACACACCGCCCGUCGCACCUACCGAUUGAAUGGUCCGGUGAAGCCUCGGGAUUGCGAAUGCUUCGUGCGGACGCGAGAACUUGGCUAAACCUUACCAUUUAGAGGAAGGUGAAGUCGUAACA
rnacentral:rRNA from 1 species